rnacentral:rRNA from 1 species
GUAGGUGGCAAGCGUUGUCCGGAAUUAUUGGGCGUAAAGCGCGCGCAGGCGGUUCUUUAAGUCUGAUGUGAAAGCCCACGGCUCAACCGUGGAGGGUCAUUGGAAACUGGGGAACUUGAGUACAGAAGAGGAAAGCGGAAUUCCACGUGUAGCGGUGAAAUGCGUAGAGAUGUGGAGGAACACCAGUGGCGAAGGCGGCUUUCUGGUCUGUAACUGACGCUGAGGCGCGAAAGCGUGGGGAGCAAACAGGGAUUAGAUACCCUGGUAGUCCACGCCGUAAACGAUGAGUGCUAAGUGUUAGGGGGUUUCCCGCCCCUUAGUGCUGCAGCUAACGCAUUAAGCACUCCGCCUGGGGAUACGGCCGCAAGGCUG